GACCAAGAAAUUAAGUUAUAAUGGUGAAGAGAUAGUUUUAUUUAUGUUUUGUAUGGAGGUAAAAUUUAGUACAAGUGCAUGAUUUGUAAAUAGCUUAUGGUUGAGUCUGUGAAAUCCUUGAGGGAAACUGGGAUUAGGUACCCCAUUAUUUUUGGAUAUAAAGUGACCAGAGUACUAUGAAUGUUAGAUUUAAAACUCAAAGAACUUGGCGGUGUUUUAGACUGUUCAGGGGAACCUGUCUCGUAAUCGAUAAUCCACGUUAUACCUGACCUUAUUUUGUUUUCAGUUUGUAUACCGUUGUCGUCAGGUAACUUUUUAGAGGAUAUAAGUUAGCAAUAGAAAAGUGAUUUAGUACGUCAAAUCAAGGUGCAGCUUAUAGUGGGGGGAGGAUGGGUUACAAUUAUAAUUUGUAAAUGGAAGGUAGACUUGUAAGUAAAUUAGAUAUAGAUAAUUUGAAUAAAGCUCUGAAACGUGU
rnacentral:rRNA from 1 species